rnacentral:lncRNA from 1 species
UGACUAAACAAUCAAGUCCAAUUAAUUCCUAAGGUUGAACUGCCGGUUUGUAAUGCGUAAAGUAAAUAAAACAGUAAAAACACAACUCACGAUAUGAUGACGGAGAAACCCCAACAUGGGUAAAACUCCGGGACCAAGCCAGUGACUUUCACUAUUCCAAUUCAAUAAGUACAAGUUCUUAAACUCUGUACCCAAUCAGACCAACUGUUCCAGUCUCACGAUCUACCGCCGUAGAUACAACUAGUCUCCUACUAGAUUUUUCGAUCUACCUCCUGCAAUCCAAUCUGUUGUCCACUACAGCCUCCUGGUUCUUAGCUGAUUGUAUUACCAAGUGGAAUUUCAAGAACCGUCUGUUCUUGUCCAAUUCACUGCGCUUGACGUCCACCUCUCUCAAUCCCCAAUGAGAGAGUCCGCUCCUCAAAAGAUUAAGGAACUACGGUGUUCUGAAUUAUGGAUUUGAUAUUUUCCAAAACACAGUUGCUAGAUAACUAGAGUGAUAUAGAUGGAAUCACCAAUUAAUUUCUCCUUGGAUCACUUCAAUAAUAAUAUGUAUAUGUUUCUCUAUUUUUCUCCAACAGCCGCCCACUAUUUGUUAAUUAAGAAGUCCAAUUCCCAGCCUCCUUUGCCUGCUUUCAGUUCCAGUAAGUAUAUCUCUUUCCACCUUGGAACUUCAAUGUUUGACUACCAAAAUGGGACUCCAAUUCUCUUCCAACUUUCGGCUUUCUGUGGGUGUAUAUAUAUGUAUUUAAUUCAACUUUGCAACCCACUAAUUCUUUCCCAGCAGCCGACUGGCUUUAUCAAUUCAACCUCUCAAUUUUCGUGUUUGUAUGUAGAUAUAUCUUCAAUAGCCAGCACCUUGUCUUCCUCAAUUCCUG